rnacentral:rRNA from 1 species
GUGGGGAAUCUUAGACAAUGGGGGAAACCCUGAUCUAGCCAUGCCGCGUGAGCGAUGAAGGCCUUAGGGUUGUAAAGCUCUUUCAGCUGGGAAGAUAAUGACUGUACCAGCAGAAGAAGCCCCGGCUAACUCCGUGCCAGCAGCCGCGGUAAUACGGAGGGGGCUAGCGUUGUUCGGAAUUACUGGGCGUAAAGCGCACGUAGGCGGACCGGAAAGUCAGAGGUGAAAUCCCAGGGCUCAACCUUGGAACUGCCUUUGAAACUCCUGGUCUUGAGGUCGAGAGAGGUGAGUGGAAUUCCGAGUGUAGAGGUGAAAUUCGUAGAUAUUCGGAGGAACACCAGUGGCGAAGGCGGCUCACUGGCUCGAUACUGACGCUGAGGUGCGAAAGCGUGGGGAGCAAACAGGAUUAGAUACCCGGUAGUCC